CUAGUUGUAUUAACUAUUAGUUAAUACAAGAUCGACUAUGUCGACUAAAGUUCUAGGUAGAAUAAUGAUGAUGACAAUUUUCUACCUAUAUGUCUUGACCAAAUCUCGUGCCAGCAGUCGCGGUAAUACGUGAAAGACUAGUGUUAUUCAUCUUUAAUAGGUUUAAAGGGUACCUAGACGGUUUAUCUAGCCCAAAACAGGGUACGGAUUUUCUAGAGUUUUAUGUGAGGAGGGGAGUACUCAUAGAGUAAAGAUGAAAUUUUGUGAUACUAUGGGGAAACUGGUGGCGGCGAAAGCAACCUUCUAUGUAUAAACUGACGUUGAGGGACGAAGGCUUGGGUAGCAAAUAGGAUUAGAUACCCUAGUAGUCCAAGCAGACAAUUCUGAAUGCCAUAGAUUAGAUUUUUUUUUGGUCUAUAAAUGAAAGUGUAAGCAUUCCACCUUAGGAGUAAUGUGGCAACACAGGAACUGAAAUCAUUAGACCGUUUCUGAAACCAGUAGUGAAGUAUGUUAUUUAAUUUGUUAGUCCUCAAAAAACCUUACCACAACUUGAAUAUUAUUUAAUUAAUACAAGCGUUGCACGGCUGUCUUCAGUUAAUGUCGUGAGAUUUUGGUUAACUCCCUCAAUUAACGUAAACCCUUACUUU
rnacentral:rRNA from 1 species